rnacentral:rRNA from 1 species
AUUGAACGCUGGCGGCAUGCCUAACACAUGCAAGUCGAACGGGGCAGCAAUGCCUAGUGGCGGACGGGUGAGGAAUACGUAGGAAUCUGCCCUUAAGUGGGGGAUAACCAGGGGAAACCCUGACUAAUACCGCAUGAUCUCUUCGGAGCAAAGAGGGGGACCGCAAGGCCUCUCGCUUCUGGAUGAGCGUACGUCUGAUUAGCUAGUUGGUAGGGUAAAGGCCUACCAAGGCGACGAUCUGUAACUGGUCUGAGAGGAUGAUAAGUCACACCAGAGCUCGGACACCGUCUGGAGUCAUACGGAAGGCAGCAGUGGGGAAUAUUGUACAAUGGGCGCAAGCCUGUUCCAGCAAUGCGGCGGGUGUGAAGAAGGCGUUCGGGUUGUAAACUGCUUUUAUUCGGGAAGAAACCUGCUUACGUGUAAGUAGCUGAAUGUACCGAAGGAAUAAGGAUCGGCUAACUCCGUGCCAGCCGCCGCCGUAAUAC